UUUAUUUCAGUUUGUGGUGUUUAAAAAUAAAAAAAUCAAUGAAAUAUAAUCUGUAAAUUUUAUUUUAGUCUGAAGCAGUGAGAUCAAUUUAAAGUUAGUGUGAGCUAAACAAUAGUUUAUUUUUGAAAGAUUCAUUUUUAAUUACACAUUUUUUUUAAUGAUGCAUAUACAAAAAGACAAAAAAAAACAGUAGAAAAAAAGAUAAAUUAGUUUAUCCUUAAUGCAAUUUGCCUAUUUUUUUCUUUAAAAAAUUUGCUUUGGGGUGAUCCAACAACCUAAUACAGUUGGUGAAGCAGACAUGACAUGCUCAUUUAAGGAAUCUGCUGUCUGCAGCUUAACUGACUAGAUUCUUAUAGUUUCACACAAGAAUCUAGUCGGAUUCUUGUGAAGGUUGAAUAAGUUGGUUGUGUAUAAGCACUUUAGUGUUCAGCAAGACUAGAGAAUCACUCCAUACAUCCAGUCUAUUUACCAUUUAGUUGACUUGUAGUUGAAAAGUUGUGGGUUUGACUCCAACUUACUCUCUCACCACCUGUCAUUGUGUCCUUAAUACAUCUUUCACAAGGCAUGUAAGCCCAAAUUUACAGAGUUUAAACUAAUUAUGUAGUUUAAAAGUGUUUUGAGUGGUUGCCAUUACUUGAAAAGAUAUAGAGCCACUUUUUUUAUUUUCACAUAUAUUAUCUAUUUUUCUGUCUGGCUUGAUCUUUUAAAAUUAUGUUUUGGAGACACAACAAUCUGUUGAAAAGAAUAGACAGUUGCACUCUUCUGUUCCAGACCACAUAGCAUGGCUCCCCCAUGUGUAAGUGUAUAUUGCUUACUUUAUAUUUGUCAGUAAUAUUACCCGAGUUCCUAGUUGGAAUUCAAUAAGAAUGCUCCCUGAAAUUAGUAACUGGAAAAACUGGCUCUGAUCGACCAGUCAAAGGGUGCAUCUAAUGGCUGCCGCUCCUGUUGAAUUUAAAAAACUGCCGGCAGGCAUUAGCAGCUUAUUCAUGGUUUGCAUUUCAUAAAUGACAAAAAGUGACACGCAAGAUACUGCAAAAAUUUAUAAACAUGAUAGUGUUUGAACGCCUAAAAUGAAGAUAAAUAUAUCAUAGUGAGAUCACUCUGGUAACAGCAUAAAAAGAAAUAAGCUAAUAUAGUUUUCUGACUUGCAGCAAGAACUCUCUGACGUCAAUACCAGGUCUGACUUCUGAGACGAAUUCAAUUAAUUCUUGGAAAGUCUCCUCCGGUAUUACUUACUAUAAAUGCAUAUUGUCAGCCAUGCAGAUAUGAAAGAAACACAAACUAUUAGAGUUCUACUAUUAACAUUUUACUGAUGUCAAUGUGUUAAUUCAUUCCUCUGUUUUAAUAGACCUUUUUUUUUUUUUCUUUUUAGGUGUUACGACUCAAGCUGAAUGGUCGUUGUGUACGGCUCCUUCACCUUGGGCGGAAUUGGAGUUUGACAACAUCAUCCUCACUGUACCCUCUGAUGUCGUCAGAUGUCUUGAUCAUCCCGAUAAGUUGGCGGACCUCUGGAAUGACAUUAUGAAGGCCAUCGCUGACCUGGCUGCCAAAUCCCACAAAUUUUCAUGGAAAGACCGAUUUGUAGCAGACGUUCAAAUUUCACACGGUUUUAUGCCUGCAGUUUAUCCUAUAAUGGCACACCAGGGUUCUGCAACUGGGUUGGUGGAUGUUAAUCAUGUGAAGACCAAAGGCAUUUGGCGUGCCAUCCAUGAGCUCGGACACAACCAACAGCGAGGCUGCUGGGAGUUCCCUCCACACACCACAGAGUGCACAUGCAACCUGUGGUCAGUGUACGUGGAUGAAGUGGUGUUUGGGAUCAAAUGGGACAAAGUAAAGGAACACAGUGCCUAAAACAGGCUCAUUCAGCGAUAACUUCUGCAAAUCGAAAUAAACGACUCAAGGAUUAUAUCAAUGGAGGCAAAAAGCUCAGCAGCAUGUGGGUGAACCUGGAGACAUUCUUGCAG